CUAAGUUUGAUGGCGACCGGCGCACGGGUGAGUAACACGUACCCAACCUGCCGAUGACUCGGGGAUAGCCUUUCGAAAGAAAGAUUAAUACCCGAUGGCAUAGUUCUUCCGCAUGGUAGAACUAUCAAAGAAUUUCGGUCAUCGAUGGGGAUGCGUUCCAUUAGGUUGUUGGCGGGGUAACGGCCCACCAAGCCUUCGAUGGAUAGGGGUUCUGAGAGGAAGGUCCCCCACAUUGGAGCUGAGACACGGUCCAAACUCCUACGGGAGGCAGCAUG
rnacentral:rRNA from 1 species